rnacentral:lncRNA from 1 species
GAUGAGAUUUAAGAUAUUUGACUCUUUCACAACACAUUAUAAUAACAUUAUUUGUACUUUACAAUGUGUUUUGUGUUGCAAAUAUUUUAAUUAUUGACUUGCUAAAAUGUGUAACUCAGAGGCUAAAUAACAGAAAUAUAAGUUGGCCUGUUUCUCCACUGGCUGUGAUCGAAAAAAAAUAUAACAUUAAAUUAUAGCUUACAUAGUACUAUAGUUAAAAUCUCUGCAAUGCGUUAAAAAGCCAUAAGCUCAUAAUUUUGCAGCAUAAAGCUCAAAAAUUAUUAUAGCUCUUGCAUAAAAUAAACAAAUACAAAUGACUGCUGUGGAAGCCGUAAUAAAGUCUUUAUACUUUACUAUGGCUUUUAAGCCGUAAUUAUAUAAUUGAACUCACAAGCAUGCAGAGAAUAAGUGAAACAAAAUAAAUAAUAAUUUUGGUUAAGACAGCUUUUAUGGCAAAAGCGAAAUCUUAAAACUGCAUUGAUUAAUAAUAACUCCGCUUUAUUAUGAACUUCACAAAAGCGGAAAAUACGAAGAUUUGUUUAGUGCGGAAAAGAUAAUUUUGAACAUGGGUUGAAGAAUUUUCGCCGACAAAUGUUAACACAAUUCUACAAAAUGUAAUGCAUUGAAACAAGGAACAGCACAAAGAACAGGGAUAAUUGUUUGUGGACACAAGAACAAGCAUUUUUAUUUCACCUUCAAGUUUGACUGUUUUAAACUUUACUUAUCAAUGAGAUUAUAAUAAUUUUAAAUUUUAAAGUGACCUCCCUUUUUCCUGAAGUUGCUUUGUAGUCCAUGGGGACUCAAUACAGCAUUAAAAGAUUAUCAUUAGUGUCCACUGGAAUGAUAUGGAAGUUUCUAAAAGUUUAACAGAAGAUUAAUGGAAAAAGUAUGAAUAAAAUAAUGUAAAGAAUUCACCUAUGGCUGGUGGGCCAAAAGUGGCUUAUAGCAUUCUCAAUUUAGCUCCUGAACUGUCUUAAAUAAAAAAUACUAAGAAAAUAAGAAUACCAGAAAAAAUAUUUUUCCAGCUGUAUUCUGCAUCAUUUACUGAUAUAAUUUGUAAUUUGUCUCUAAUAAUUGGAUUGCAACAAUUUUGUUUUCAAAGUCUUGUUUAUUAUGAUUUCAAAUAUUGAAAAACAUAUAAAAAUAAUUAUAGGAGUUCCCAAAUGGGAAUAAGAGAUCCAACCCUUAUUCAUUGCAAUCUAAGGUAUGUUU